AGGUCACCAUGGGACUCUGUGGCUGGAACACCAUUCCUCUAGGUGUCGACAUCGGCUUUCACCAGCUGCAUGCUAGCUAUUCCUGAUGUCUGUAGAGCGGGUAGAUCACUCUCAACACUCUUCCAUCUAUGAUCUCAUCGUAUCCUUGCCAUGAUUGGGUGCUCUCCCAAUUUAACAAAUAUGUAAACACAGGCCCAGAGAGCCCAAGUGACUUGUCUAAAGUCACACAGCCAGGAGCUGAGCUGGGACAAUAAUCCAGAACAAGCUCCAAAUGUGACCUACUUUCCCUUUCUUUGUGAUUAUGCAGAACUCACAAAGCUUUAUCUUCAGCCUGACUAAUAUUUCCAGUGACAUGCUUUUCAUCUUUCGGAAAAGAAGAGUCUGCCUCAGGCUGCCAGAGAAUUUAAGUCUUGGUGAGAUGACCGACGAGGACAGAUGAGUUACAAAGACUUCACUUGGGGACUCAUAAGACACUUUGACCUAGCACAAGAAAAAAACAAAACAAAACAAUAACAAAAUCCAGAUUCUGCCUCUUGAAAGUAAUUAGCAUUUAGUCUGAAAGUUUUCAUCAACAAGAAUACCAUCAAGAUGGUGUUGAUGAGCUGAGUGACUCUGAAGUUCCUCACCACAACCCAAGUCCUGUAACUCUAGACUCUGUGGCCUCGGCCUGGGAAUCCUGCCACCCUCCAAAACCCACUCAGGCACUUCCAAAUUCUGCAUUUUGCAUUAAAAAUUAAUUGACUUCUUCCACCUCUUCAGUGACUCAGAACACAACAGCGUUUCAAAGUAUCAGGAGAAACAAUUUAAAAAUAAAAGCCAAGCACCCAGCUUAGGAGGAAACCUGGCUCUUUUAGUCAAAAUUCAGCUGGUCUUGACUUUCCUCCACUAUUUUUACCUUGGAGGCUGUGCAUUUUUUAAACGUCUGAUCUGCUGUCCUUUUCCCGACAUUGAAAUUCCAAAUUACAAUUCGUAAUCGGGAAACAUUUGCUUGGUGACUUUAGAAAUGUCCCUGCUGGCCAGAAAUUCUGGCACUAGGAUUUUGAGCCAAAGCUUCUCUUUUAUCCUCAGUGAGGUGAAACAGGUCCUGCUAAAUGUUUACCAGACAAAUUGUUCAAAACAGAAACAGACUUGCAGCCCUGGGAUCCAACUGCAUUUGCUUCGAUCCAGGGAGGAGAGAAUUUCUAGAAGAGGAAACAAAAGUCCUUUCUGCCAUCAGAUUUCCUGAAUGCUCCUAAAGAAGAUGAAGAAAGUUUUGUUUGUUGUUCAAAACUUUCAUGUGUACAGGAGGGCAGGAGGGGCUUUGACUUGAGGUUGCCCUCCUUCUUAGAGGCAAAUAUUCCAGAAGUUCCAGGAGAGUUUUUGGACAUCUGAUCUAGAGGCAAAUCCUCUAAGGGUUUAUUUUCUGUCCCUGAGACCUGAAGGUUUGAGAGGAAAAGUGAAGAUGAAGGGGGGUGAGAGACGAAAACAGGAAAUUAGCACUCUGAAUCCUUCUAGAAAAACUAUCAUCUGGAGCUUCCAAAUUGUUUUCACAUCUGAAGGAAGGAAAAUUCCAUCUCCUUUACUUUGAGGGGUCAGAAUCAUGCUUCACUUUAUCAUGAGAAAUGAUGGGCUGAUGCCGUGAAGGGAAUGAGUGUGGAUGGAAGUGUGUAAAAGCUUCAGGUUCCCUGAGUCCACGAGUUCCUCCUGAGCAGGAGUGGGUGGACAUCCAUGAUGGGCAGCAGAUGCCCUCUCCUGCAGUUCUGCAGCUUGUUUUCCAGAAGAAUUCCACGGCCAGACCAUCCCACUUGUAUAUAAUAAAUAACCUUCUGGGCUUAGCUAUUUUGGUGCCUUCAGUCAAGUCAGAGCCCGAGCUCUCUACUCUCAGAGAUUAAAGGUCUACACUAUG